rnacentral:rRNA from 1 species
GAUGAACGCUGGCGGCGUGCCUAAUACAUGCAAGUCGAACGCAGAGAGAAGCUUGCUUUUCUCUGAGUGGCGAACGGGUGAGUAAUACAUAAGCAACCUACCCAUACGACCGGGAUAACCAUUGGAAACGAUGGCUAAUACCGGAUAGGUGACCGGGGGACAUCCCCUGAUUAUUAAAGCUGGGCUACAGCACGAAUGGAUGGGCUUAUGGCGCAUUAGCUAGUUGGCGGGGUAACGGCCCACCAAGGCGAUGAUGCGUAGCCGACCUGAGAGGGUGACCGGCCACACUGGGACUGAGACACGGCCCAGACACCUACGGGUGGCAG